rnacentral:rRNA from 1 species
GCUUAUGCGUUCGUUGGGUAGGGGAGCGUUCUGUAAGCCUGUGAAGGUGGCCUGUGAGGGUUGCUGGAGGUAUCAGAAGUGCGAAUGCUGACAUAAGUAACGAUAAAGCGGGUGAAAAGCCCGCUCGCCGGAAGACCAAGGGUUCCUGUCCAACGUUAAUCGGGGCAGGGUGAGUCGACCCCUAAGGCGAGGCCGAAAGGCGUAGUCGAUGGGAAACGGGUUAAUAUUCCCGUACUUGGUGUUACUGCGAAGGGGGGACGGAGAAGGCUAUGUUGGCCGGGCGACGGUUGUCCCGGUUUAAGCGUGUAGGUGUGUGUUCCAGGUAAAUCCGGUU